rnacentral:rRNA from 1 species
GACGAACGCUGGCGGCGUGCUUAACACAUGCAAGUCGAACGGAAAGGCCCUGCUUUUGUGGGGUGCUCGAGUGGCGAACGGGUGAGUAACACGUGAGUAACCUGCCCUUGACUUUGGGAUAACUUCAGGAAACUGGGGCUAAUACCGGAUAGGAGCUCCUGCUGCAUGGUGGGGGUUGGAAAGUUUCGGCGGUUGGGGAUGGACUCGCGGCUUAUCAGCUUGUUGGUGGGGUAGUGGCUUACCAAGGCUUUGACGGGUAGCCGGCCUGAGAGGGUGACCGGCCACAUUGGGACUGAGAUGCGGCCAAGAGUGCUACGGGAGGCAGCAGUGGGGAAUAUUGCACGAUGGGCGGAAGCAGGAUGCAGCAACGCCGCGUGCGGGAUGACGGCCUUCGGGUUGUAAACCGCUUUCGCGUGUGACGAAGCGUGAGUGACGGUAAUGGGUAAAGAAGCACCGGCUAACUACGUG